rnacentral:tRNA from 1 species
GCCGGUGUGAUGGAAUGGUAGACGUGACGGACUCAAAAUCCGUUGGUGGCAACACCGUGUGGGUUCGAGUCCCACCACCGGCACCA